rnacentral:RNase_P_RNA from 2 species
CCUGGAAGUCGGAUGACCGCUGGCAGGGAUGAACAUCUUUGCUGGAGGAAAGUCCGGGCUCUAUGAAAACGAGGUGCCGGGUAAUCCCCGGCGAGGGCAACCUUAGGGAAAGUGCCACAGAAAAUAUACCGCCGAUCAUUUUUUCAGGUCGGUAAGGGUGAAAUGGUGCGGUAAGAGCGCACCGCAUACUUGGCAACAAGUGUGGCAGGGCAAACCCCACCUGGAGCAAGACCAAAUAGGAAUGGCGCGCUGGCUCAUCCAGCAGAUGCGUUUUCACAUCGUCAUUCGGGUAGGUCGCGUGAAGCCGCUGGUAACAGUGGCUCCAGAGGAAUGGUCAUCCCUGAUAGUAUCAGGACAGAACCCGGCUUAUAGACUUCCAGGUCUU